GGGGUGACGCAUAGAACUCAACUAGGACAAAAGAAGAGAACCUUUGGAAAGACCUCUCCUUUAUUCUGUGGCUAAAAUAGAAUAGAUCCAGAGAAGGUCACAGGCACUCCAGUGACAUCAGACCUGUACAGCAAAGGCAAGGGAAACGACAGCAAGCAGUAGGAUUUUCAUAUGUUUUGUCUACAUACAUACAUUAACCCAGAAAUCAGCAAAAGAAAACAAACAAUCUUGAAAGAACACAUAUAAAAAUAGUGAUGGGUUUUGAUUAGAUUCUUAAAGUUAGUUGCCACCAAAUAAUACUCUCUUUUGUAACCUCAUGGAAAUGGCGCACUCUACAGGUGCUAGAAAUCCAAACGCCCACAGAAACUAGUAGCAGCAGCCAGUACUGGAAGGUUGGCUUUGAUUGUUGUAAGAGCAAAACCAAUAGAACAAAAGUCUUUAUCGUAUCAUAACUUACCACCCAUGGAGGAGAGUGGUCCGCUCCUCAGUAUCAAGCAGUAGUACUCACAUAUACAGAGAGAGAGAGAGAUGUGUGUGUGUGUUUCGUGAGGGUACAGAACCUGGCUUGAAAGGAAUUAGAUUGAAAGAGACUUGACAGCAAAAGUGAGGAA
rnacentral:lncRNA from 1 species